rnacentral:rRNA from 1 species
UGGGGAAUCUUGCACAAUGGGGGCAACCCUGAUGCAGCGACGCCGCGUGAGCGAUGAAGGUUUUCGAAUCGUAAAGCUCUGUCCUAUGGGAAGAUAAUGACGGUACCAUAGGAGGAAGCCCCGGCUAACUACGUGCCAGCAGCCGCGGUAAUACGUAGGGGGCGAGCGUUGUCCGGAAUUACUGGGCGUAAAGGGUUCGCAGGCGGCAUGGCAAGUCCGAUGUAAAAGGCGAAGGCUCAACCUUCGUAAGCAUCGGAAACUGUCAAGCUUGAGUGAAGGAGAGGCAAGUGGAAUUCCUAGUGUAGCGGUGGAAUGCGUAGAUAUUAGGAGGAAUACCGGUGGCGAAGGCGACUUGCUGGACUUCAACUGACGCUGAGGAACGAGAGCGUGGGUAGCAAACAGG